GCGGCAUCGUGGGUGGUGGGCUAGGUGAGGGUGGAGUGGUUAGGGAAGCACUUGGAGUGGGUGGGGAGCCAGCUUGAGGAGAAGAGGGGGUGCUAGAGCAGCGGCGGUGGUGGUGGGUGCGACCCUGCUCUGCCCAGCGGCGGCACAGGGGGAAGAAGAAGAAGAAGAAGAAGAAGUGGCCGAACAGGGGGAAGAAGAGGUUCCUGCGACGGUAGAGAGGAAGAAGAAGAGACGGCGGCGGCGGAAGAGGGGGAAGAGGAAGAAGAGACCGCGGCGGCGGAAGAGGGGAAGAGGAAGAAGAAGCCCCACCGACGGAAGAGGUAGAGUGGGAAGAAGAAGAAACCCCACCGGCGGAAGAGGGGGAAGGGGAUGAAGAAGCCCCAGCGGCGGGGGGUGCAUCGAGAAGAGCCCUAGACCUCGUCUCGGGAGCGGCCUGGGCCACCCCCUCCGCUGGUAGAAUCCGGAGGGUCCGGGCGUGAACCGUUACCUCGGACCUGAGCGCCACCAUCGCCGCCCCUGCUCUAGGAAGAAUCCGGAGGGUCCGGGUACGAAUGUCACCUCGGCCCCGACCGCGGCCGCGGCCGCCGUCCCUGCCCAGGAAGAAUCCAGAUGGCCCGGGCGCGAACCAUCACCUCGACCCCUGCUGCCGCGAGAGGAGCGGGAGCCUUCCGCGUCACGAGUCGCGGCGACCGAAGAAGGGCCGGUACGGGUGGAGAGAGGAGGACGUGUAAUAAUCCGGAGAGAGAAGGGCCUAAAUUUGUAAAAAAAGAUUGGUACACCAUGUACGCGGACGUGUAAGAACAAAUAGAUUGACUACACACGUGCCACGAAGGUACAAACAGUAGAAAUCGAUGUUUGAUACAGACAGUUCAUGUUAUCGAAGUCUGUAGUCAACCCGGGAAACAACUUUCGUCCUUUCUCCAAAGUCACUAAAAUGAUUGCCUGAUGUGUCAAACCAUCAUAGAAACCUACUAUAUGACUUUUCACUUUUGAUACGAGACAAGUAAGUCAAUUCAAACCUCCUUACGUGUACCUAAACUCACACAGUGUAACAGAGAUCAGUAAGACUAAAAGGUCUCACCUAUUCAAAAAACAGGAGCGCUACCUACAACAACUAAGUAGGCGCCGGAGCGUCUAAUCUAAACCGACUGACUGACCGACUGCCAGUCCAAAGAACAGGAGUACUACCUACAACGAAACGUCCACCGAUCCUAGAGGCGGAAGCCGCAGCCACAGCAGAUGUCGAGGCACUUCGAGCCGUAGGAGUUCCAUCUUCUAUCGCGGUCUCACCCUUCCAAACACGUCUCUAGAAUGGAGCUCCGAUAGUGCCCACCCGUGUUGUACUGUGCCUUAACCGGUUUUUAUCCCUUGAUGUUCUACUUGUAAAUUUCCAAUUCUGGAGUGACAGAUGAACUUGCUUCUCUAAACUUCUCAACGUGUUCCAUGUAUACAGUAACGAUUUCUAGGUGUGAGGUUAGGAAAGGCGCAUACCCCGUUACUCUAUAAGUACUUGGUCGUAGUUCAUUCCUUUGACUAUUUCUAACAAUAAUUUUACCCAGUUUUCUACAGUUAGCUUGAUAAACAAAUGUGAAAUACGUUCUGUUUCCCACUUGACAUCCUACACCUAGGACUUCGCCAAAUUAGUUCUAAUAGAAAGUUUGAUGUACUAACCGCCGGCUGGUAGUGUUCCCCAACCUGAUCUCAGCACGCACGGAAGACAUAGAUCCUCUCGUAUUAUCCCGGUAAGGCGAAGUGAAACAAGUCGUUGGUUUUACAGACAGUGGAGAAAGAAAUGGUAGACAUUAUUCAUAUCUUGGAACCAAGUAGUAAAAAAUAAACCACGAAUACAUUAAGAAUUUGUAUACAUGGACACUUAGCUUAUUACGUAACCAACAAACUUGGACUACCUAUACUUAUUUCCAUAUCGGAUGAAA
rnacentral:rRNA from 1 species